UGUUCCUGUCUAUCACUCAGCUGGGUGUGAUGACCUACACUGACAUGACAGAACAGAGUCCAGAGACUCAGGCUGCUGUGGAGAAUGAAAUCAGGGCAUUACUGAAGGAAUCUUACAAGCGUGCUAGAGUUCCUCCUGAAGUCUCAUGCCAAAGAGCACAAGAACUGGCAGAAGCACUACUCAUGUACGCGACCCUGGAUGCCAAAGAAAUCCAGCUGGUCCUUGAGGGCAAGACCCUGGAGACCAGAUGAGACCAAGCAAGGAUGUCGACAAUCAAGGAUGAAUGCCACGUGAGCUGUGGAAAAUCUUGUGAAGUUACAGAAAGAUGGAUGGACUAAGAUUAUAAUUGCUGUACUUUCCAAAGUGCUCAUCAAAUCAAAAUUAAUUUUGUGUUGUAUUGGAGUCUUGUAGAAUUUUCUUUUCAACAGCUGACAACUAGAGUAAAGAGAAUAGACACUAGUCUUUAUGUGUGACUUUGACAUUUUCAUCGUAUGUGAUGGAUGCUUCAUAUAAAUAUGUUACUCAGGUUACGUCAUCAUCUGGAGAGUCUGUAAUACAUGAUGUAAAUCUGAAAUUGUUUUUCAAGCAACCAUCUGGAUAUGUUUGUUUAUUUUUGUGGUCAUACACAAAUAAGUUGUAACACUGAAGUUUUCAAUUCAGCCAGAUGUAUGCAAGCUUCAUUGGGAAAUAGUGAGCAGCUUGUGCUAAUUACCCAAAGAAUGCCAUAGUUUCCAUUAGUUUUCCAGUGUUGUGCUCAUCUCUCUUACUGCCCAGUUUGGCCAAAGGUGCAGCAGGUGGUCCAUACGUGUCAAGUCAUGAAGACGUUCAUGUCUGGUGAAUCGAAGAAAUAUACAUUCUUCUCUUCUUGUUUUUAAAGAUAGCCUUUUGAGGGAUAAAUUGUUAGUGUAAAUGUUUGCCUUUGAAAUUUAAAUUCUACAAGGUUGAACUAAAUCUGAGCACUUUUGAUAAGUACAAGUAAAAAAAAAUAAAAAUGCUCAUUGUGUAUAUAAUCUACGCUGUAUUUACAACUGCUGCUUAGCCUCAAAAAGCUGGUGUUUUGUCACCAUGUGAUAAACAGUUUAUUUAAAUGGCCCAAGUUUCUUAUGAAAUACACUUUUGUCAUUGCAACUGA